UUCCUUUUUCAGUUUUGGGUGAGGAAAACAGAGUAAGAGGAUUAGGAAGUAAGUGCUGGGUGGCUCUGUGGAUGGAGAGCCAGGCCUGGAGACAAGAAGUUCUGGAUUCAAAUCUAGCCUCAGGUUCCUUCCUCCUUCCCUGCUCAGCCUGAAGAGGACUAAGACCUGCCCCAAGCAGGGAGCCUGAACCCAGAGGGAAUGUCCCCUGCCACCCAAAGGCGCCCAUGGCAGGAGUUACUGACAUUCAAGGAUGUGGCUGUGGACUUCACCCAGGAGGAAUGGUGCCUCUUGGACCGUUCUCAGAAAGAGCUGUACAAGGAGGUCAUGCUGGAAAACUCCCAGAACCUGCUCUCCCUGGGAAUUCCAGUUCUCAGAGAAGAUUUGAACCCCUGUUUUGGGAAAAGAAAAAUAUCAUGGAUCCUAGAUCAAAAAGGACAAAGGACCUGUUCUCCAGGUGAGUAAGAUGAAAGCAGGUACAUGAGGGCUAUUAUUACAAGAAGCAUUUCUAUUAGUGAAGGGAAUGCUAAGCUUAGAUACAGGAAGAAGCUGACUUGGAAUUCUUCUUUAGAUGUUUAUUAGCAGUAUCUUCAGAAUAUUACUGAAUUUAUGGUCCUCAAUUUCCCCAUCUAUGAAAUUAAGGGGUUGGACACCAUGGCCUUUCAUUUCUCUUCUAGUGAGUGAUAAAUCUAUAAAUCUAUAAAAAGGUCAUUGCUUGAAACUUUAGGGCAUGGACAUAUGCUGAAAGUCUCCAAAAAGGGCUAUCCCAUAUGAGCUCUUUCCUAGACUUUGUUCAAAUCACCAAGCAUUUACUAAGUACUUUCUAUGUGCCAGACUAUGUGCCAAUGAAUCAGUUGUGCUCUAGAGUUCACAAUCCAGUGGGGAAGACAACAGGCAGACAGUUAUGUGGAGACCCCUAUAUCCAGGGAUUGUAUUUAGGUAGCACUUUAGGGAAAGUGGGGUGAGCUUUCUAAGCAUGAGGGGCAGACAAGGAAAACAUGGAUCCAGGAGAUCAAAGGUCCUGUGGAAAGAAUAAGGAGGUGGCCUCUAACCCAGGAUUAUCCCAUAUGCAGGGGGAGUUGGGAGAAAAAAUCUGGAAAGGUAGGUGAGGGGAAGAUGAUGAAGGAUGUUAGCAAUGAGAGGAUUGGAGGAUUGUAUAUUGGAUCCUGGUGAUAGGGAGCCACCAAAGCUCACUGAGUAGGCAGUCACCUGGUCAGAAUAUGCUUUGUUUAUGAAGGUGGACUUGGCAGCCGCCUGGAAAGUUGAGUGUGAUAGAGAGAGAUUUGAAGCAGGGGGACCAACCUGCAGACUCUAGCAACACCUCAGGCAUGAAAUUAUAAAGGCCUGGACCAAGCAAGUGGCAAUGUUGGGGAGGAAAAGGGUUGGGUGCAAAAAAGGGUAACAAAAGUAGACUCUGUAAGAAUUAAAUGGGGGAUUUUGAGUAUGGGAGAGAUGAUGAAAAAUGAAUGAUAUCUAGGGUAUGAGCCUGGAUAAUUAAUUUGAGGGUGAUGUCUGGCAUAGCAAUAGUAAAGUAAGAAGAUGGAAGGAUUGUUUGAAAGAUAAGUAUAGUUUAGUUUGGGACAUGGUAGGAGAGAACCAGGAGAGAGUACUGUCUCUAAACUAGAGAGGAGAGUCUCCUGAGAAACAGUGUGAUUGAUAGUUUCAGAGUUGGAAGAGAGAUCAGGAAAAUGAGGAUUGAGAAAAGGCCAUUGGAGUUAGCCAUUUUGAAGUGACUUACAACUUUUGUAAGGGGUAAAAAUUAUCGUUGGUCUGAAUAUUUGAAAGUUGUUACCCAGGGAUUCAAUUACUAAAUCCCAAUGAAUUACUCAAGUCAGAAUGGUUUUUAUGGUAGUUUAUUUACAAUAGAGGGAAGAAAUUAAGGAAAAGAGAGAGACAGAGAGAGAGAGAGAGAGACAGAGACAGAGAGAGAGAGAGAGAGAGAGAGAGAGAGAGCUGCUCCGGCCUGGUCUGAACCAAGAAGGAAUUCAGAGGCAGAGGAUUAAAUUUAAAAGGGCUUCCAGCCACGAGGCCUCCUCCAAGAUGAGGGGCUUCUCCAGAGCCUAGUGAUUCCUAAAAGCCAAGGGAAAAGGAGUCCCAAGACUAUGGGCCCCUCCAGAGGCUUGUGCCUCCAGAAAAGCCAAGGAAAGGAAGUCAGCCUUUUCACUCACCAUGUGACAAAGGGAAGCAGUCUGAGAUCUCAAGCCCGAGGUCCUCCACAGUCAAGUUCCAAGGUGAAGACCCCUCACAGGAAGUGACCAUGAAAUUUAAAGGCAGUUCUUUGUGUCACUUCCAGUGCCUUAUGUGUACCAAUGGUGGUUUAAACUUGGCUCUGGACUUCCCAGGGGGUCAGUCAGUUAUUUCUGAUUUGUCACUUGCUAGAACAUGUGGGUCAUAGACCUUCCUCCCCCCCACUUAAUCCUUAAGUGGGGGUGUAUACAUUCCUGGUGGCUAAAAUUCUAAAGAAUAAGUAGGAUAGAGUUAAUCUCACUUUUAUACUUUGUAGGGAAAUGUUUUAAAUUAACAAUAAAGUUGGAAGCCAGACUGGGGAGAAGCUUUUU
ensembl:lncRNA